rnacentral:tRNA from 1 species
GAACGGCGGACUGUUAAUCCGUAUGUCACUGGUUCGAGUCCAGUCAGAGGAGCCAAAUUAGAGGAACCCGCUU